ACUAUAGGUCCUGAUCCAAAGCCUAAUGAUAUCAAUGGGUGUUUUUCCAUUGACUUAAAUGGGCUUUGGAUCAGGCCCAGAAUGU
rnacentral:pre_miRNA from 1 species